GGUGGUAGCCUUCAGAAAAAGAGAAAUAUAUGUUAUUAAUGGUUAAAAAUUGUGCUGUCCUUAAAAUAAAAGACAAAAAAUAUACAAUUAUAAACAUGGCAAUGAAUUAGAGAAGAACUUUGUAAGAGUGAGAGUAGACCCCAUUUAGUGAAACCUAGGCAAACUGGAGAAACGGGCUGACAGGAGACACACAAUUCAGCAAAGACAAAUACAGCUGUGUAUCAGGAAGGAAGAGCCCCUUGCAGUGAUACAGGCUGGGAACUGACUGGUUGACAACAGCUCUGCAGAAAAUGCACUGGGAAUUUUGCUGGACAGAGAGCCAGGAGAAGCUGUCAGCAGUGUGCCCUGGCACCCAAGAAAGGCAGCAGCCUCCAGGGCUGCAGGAACAGAAGGCCAGCUCACAGAGCAAGGGAAGUGACUGCACCCUUCAGCUCUGCACUCACUAGACUAUACCCGGAGUAUUGUGUCCAGGCUGGGCACCACAGUGCAAGCAGACAUUGACAAAAUGGAGCAGAGGGUCCCCAAGGUCACGAGGGGGCUGAAGCAUUCACUGUGUGCCAAGAGGACAAGGAACAUGCGUGUGUUCUGCCCAGCAAAGGGAAGCUCUGGGGAGCGUUGAGAAGCAUCCAGCAACUAUAAGGAAGUUAUCAAGGGGACAACCUGUCAAGAGACAGGUUCUUCUCAAUUGUGCAUGGCAGAGGAAUGACAGACAACAGGCAUAAUUACAAACAGAGGUUCUGACUAGCUAGAAGGAGAAACUUUUCAUCAUAAGGAUAGCCAGGCACUGAGAUCUCAAAAAGAGACAGAAAUCUGAAAAAACACUAUUAUCUCAACUAAAUCAAUCUUCUGUUAUUCUCAGCUGAUUUUUCAAGCUGACAAAGCUUUCGGUUUUCAUAGGUUUUGUAUUUGAAUAGUCAGAAACAGCUCAUAAUUUAUGAAUAUAGGAGGAUGAAUAAUACUUGAACAUAGAAGGAUUCUAAACGGAACAUUUAAAUAUAGCAAUGCCAAAAUCUACCAUCCAAAACCAGUACUUAUAAAGCAGCUGACACUGCACAAAUGAUCAUUAUACAAAUGAUUACGAAUAGUUCUAUGAAAAAGGAGGAAUACAAACAAAACCAGACAAAACAGCCUUGGCUACAUCAGCACUCGGUAGACUCCCAACAGAGACAAAACAUGUAGCAGAAAAAGCAACUGACAUGCUGGACAUUUUAUUUCUUUUAGAUUGCCACCUGCUGCAAACUGGAAAUAGAGAAUCUAUGUACUGUAUAAUCUGUAUCAGAAGUGAGCAUUCACAAAUGUUCUGCAGCAUAUAAACUAUCAACCAAAACUGCCCCAAAAGCACUACCACUACUCAAUUUUCACUCCAUCCCUCCUUAGGUAAAUAAAAUAGCUAAAAUGAUAGAUAUCACAGAAAACAUAAACACAGUCACAGAAUUUAAACAAUUCAGAACUACAGAAAUACAUUCCAAAAAUACAGAAAACAGCAGACAGCUUUAAUGCCCAAUGUUAAAAAUGGGAGAAAAUCUGGUUCAUCAAAAGUCAGUCUAUAACAACUGUAUUUCCCUUUACUUUUUGUGAGAGUCACUGAGGAGGAAAGCUAUCAUCCAUUAUCCUAUAAAUUUGUUUUUACUUAAAUACAAUAUUUUUACAAUUAAUCACUAAGCAAUACUGUCUAAAUCCACUUCUAGUACAAACCCACACAGGAAAAUUGAUUUUUGGCCAUUAGAGAAGUUAUUAUACGACAUCUCACAGUUCAUUGUGUAUUACAACGUUACUGAUGCUAUCACUUAAAAGGUCAGACAUACUAAACAUAAGCAUCUGCAUGUUUAUGAACCAGACUGGAUGUUAUCUCUUCAGUCUACAGAGAUUAAGCUUGCUGGAAAAUAUCUGGAUAAAAAUGUCUUUUUCAGUCCCAAGCAACAAAUCCUAAAGCUGAAUACCAUCUCUUUUCCUACUAGAAACUCAGCUUGGGGAAGUGUAUAUCCAUGAAAGCAAUUGGUUUGUUACCUUCAUCUAAUAAUAAAAGCAGAUCUUAACUUGGCUCUCUUAUUUAUCUACUGCUUCUCUGUCUUUUUUUGUACCCUAAAGGCCUAAAUAAAUUGGUUUUGUUCAGCCUUGAGAAGACUAGGGAGAGAGCAGGUGGGGAGGGAUGGAUGUGUGAAGAUCUUCACUCUACCUACAAGUAUAACAUGAAAGACUGUAAUGAAGAUAGAGCCUGACUCAUCUCAGGAGCGCACUCCACAAAGAUAAGAGAUCUUGCAGAACUGUGCUGCUUUGGCUUGCAUCUAGGAUCAAACUCCAAGAAGGAAAAAGGAGAAUACUGGUAUCACACAAAUUGUCAUAUGCUCUGGGAUGACACUGCUUGAGCAGGGAGGUUGGAGCAGAUGAUCCAUUGUGGUCCCUUCCAACCUGACCCAUUCUGCGAUUCUGAGCCUGGGUGCAGUAUAAACAGUGGCAUUAACAUUACUCCAAAAUACCUCAUUCCUGUGGACAGAACUUUUAAGUGGAAGUCCUUUGUCAAGGCUUUAUCACAGAAUGAAGUUUCUCUUACAUGUCUGCUCUGGUCCUCACCUCCUGUGACUUGUGUUCCAUAAUAUGUUACUAGUUUGUACCUCAUAGGUUGUCAUCUGCAUACUCUGUCUUAACCAAUUCAAUUUACAUGGCACAUCAAUAUUAAA